AUACGGAGGGUGCAAGCGUUAUUCGGAAUCACUGGGCGUAAAGGGUGCGCAGGCGGCUAUUUAAGUUGGAUGUGAAAUCCUAUGGCUCAACCAUAGAACUGCAUUGGAAACUGUCAGAAUAGAAUACUGAAGGGGCAGAUGGAAUUAGUGGUGUAGGGGUAAAAUCCGUAGAUAUCACUAGGAAUACCGAAAGCGAAAGCGAUCUGCUGGGAAGUUAUUGACGCUGAGGCACGAAAGCGUGGGGAGCAAACGGGAUUAGAAACCCUAGUAGUCC
rnacentral:rRNA from 1 species